UACGGGGGGGGCAAGCGUUGUUCGGAAUUACUGGGCGUAAAGGGCGCGUAGGCGGGUGGACAAGUCCCUCGUGAAAGCCCACGGCUCAACCGUGGAAUUGCGGGAGAUACUGUCUGUCUUGAGUCCGGGAGAGGAGGGUGGAAUUCCCAGUGUAGCGGUGAAAUGCGUAGAUAUUGGGAGGAACUCCGGUUGCGCAGGCGGCUCUCUGGACCGGUACUGACGCUGAGGCGCGAAAGCUAGGGGAGCAAACGCG
rnacentral:rRNA from 1 species